AUUGAACGCUGGCGGCAGGCCUAACACAUGCAAGUCGAGCGGAUGAAGGGAGCUUGCUCCUGGAUUCAGCGGCGGACGGGUGAGUAAUGCCUAGGAAUCUGCCUGGUAGUGGGGGACAACGUUUCGAAAGGAACGCUAAUACCGCAUACGUCCUACGGGAGAAAGCAGGGGACCUUCGGGCCUUGCGCUAUCAGAUGAGCCUAGGUCGGAUUAGCUAGUUGGUGAGGUAAUGGCUCACCAAGGCGACGAUCCGUAACUGGGCUGAGAGGAUGAUCAGUCACUCUGGAACUGAGAAACGGUCCAGACUCCUACGGGAGGAAGCAGUGGGGAAUAUUGGACAAUGGGAGAAAGCCUGAUCCAGCCAUGGCGCGUGUGUGAAGAAGGUCUUCGGAUUGUAAAGCACUUUAAGUUGGGAGGAAGGGUUGUAGAUUAAUACUCUGCAAUUUUGACGUUACCGACAGAAUAAGCACCGGCUAACUCUGUGCCAGCCGCCGCGGUAAUAC
rnacentral:rRNA from 1 species